rnacentral:rRNA from 1 species
AUUGAACGCUGGCGGCAGGCCUAACACAUGCAAGUCGAACGAGUGGCGGACGGGUGAGUACUGUCUGGGAAACUGCCCGAUGGAGGGGGAUAACUACUGGAAACGGUAGCUAAUACCGCAUACCAUCGGAUGUACCCAGAUGGGAGUAGCUAGUGGGUGGGGUAACGGCUCACCUAGGCGACGAGCCCUAGCUGGUCUGAGAGGAUGAACGGGCACACUGGAACCGAGACACGGGCCCGACUCCUACGGGAGGGAGCAGGGGGGAAUAUUGCACAAUGGGCGCAAGCCUGAUGCAGCCAUGCCGCGUGUAUGAAGAAGGCCUUCGGGUUGUAAAGUACUGUCAGCGAGGAGGCGUUACUCGCAGAAGAAGCAUCGGCUAACUCCGUGCCAGCAGCCGCGGUAAUAC